rnacentral:rRNA from 1 species
UGGCGGAAUAUUGCACAAUGGGCGCAAGCCUGAUGCAGCCAUGCCGCGUGUAUGAUGAAGGCCUUCGGGUUGUAAAGUACUUUUGCGGGGAAGAAGGGGUUGUGACUAAUACUGUUAACAAUUGACGUUACCCCCACAAGAAGCCCCGGCUAACUACGUGCCAGCAGCCGCGGUAAUACGGAGGGUGCGAGCGUUAAUCGGAAUUACUGGGCGUGAAGCGUGUGCAGGCGGUCCCUUGGGUCCGAUGUGAAAUCCCCGGGCUUAACCUGGGAACUGCAUUUGAAACUGCUUGGCUAGAGUCUUGUAGAGGGGGGUAGAAUUCCACGUGUAGCGGUGAAAUGCGUAGAGAUGUGGAGGAAUACCGGUGGCGAAGGCGGCCCCCUGGGCUAAUACUGACGCUCAGGUGCGAAAGCGUGGGGAGCAAACAGGAUUAGAUACCCCAGUAGU